GUCCGCACCAUAAACGAUGGAUACUAGGUGCUCGAAGUGUUAACCCUUUGAGUACCAAAGCUAACGCAUUAAGUAUCCCGCCUGGGAAGUACGGCCGCAAGGCUAAAACUCAAAGGAAUUGACGGGGGCCCGCACAAGCGGUGGAGUAUGUGGUUCAAUUCGAAGCAACGCGCAGAACCUUACCUGGGCUUAACAUCCCACGACGACUGUAGAGAUAUAGUUUUCCCUUCGGGGACGUGGAGAUAGGUGCUGCAUGGCUGUCGU
rnacentral:rRNA from 1 species